CCUACGGGUGGCAGCAGUGGGGAAUAUUGGACAAUGGGCGAAAGCCUGAUCCAGCCAUGCCGCGUGUGUGAAGAAGGCCUUCGGGUUGUAAAGCACUUUCAGUGGGGAAGAAAGCCUUGGGGCUAAUACCCUCGAGGAAGGACAUCACCCACAGAAGAAGCACCGGCUAACUCCGUGGCCAGCAGCCGCGGUAAUACGGAGGGUGCGAGCGUUAAUCGGAAUUACUGGGCGUAAAGCGCGCGUAGGCGGUCUGAUAAGCCGGUUGUGAAAGCCCCGGGCUCAACCUGGGAACGGCAUCCGGAACUGUCAGGCUAGAGUGCAGGAGAGGAAGGUAGAAUUCCCGGUGUAGCGGUGAAAUGCGUAGAGAUCGGGAGGAAUACCAGUGGCGAAGGCGGCCUUCUGGACUGACGCUGACGCUGAGGUGCGAAAGCGUGGGUAGCAAACAGGAUUAGAUACCCUAGUAGUC
rnacentral:rRNA from 1 species